rnacentral:rRNA from 2 species
GUCGUGGGGGAUAACGUAGGGAAACUUACGCUAAUACCGCAUACGACUACGGGUGAAAGCAGGGGAUCUUCGGACCUUGCGCGAUUGAAUGAGCCGAUGUCGGAUUAGCUAGUUGGCGGGGUAAAGGCCCACCAAGGCGACGAUCCGUAGCUGGUCUGAGAGGAUGAUCAGCCACACUGGAACUGAGACACGGUCCAGACUCCUACGGGAGGCAGCAGUGGGGAAUAUUGGACAAUGGGCGCAAGCCUGAUCCAGCCAUACCGCGUGGGUGAAGAAGGCCUUCGGGUUGUAAAGCCCUUUUGUUGGGAAAGAAAUCCAGCUGGCUAAUACCUGGUUGGGAUGACGGUACCCAAAGAAUAAGCACCGGCUAACUUCGUGCCAGCAGCCGCGGUAAUACGAAGGGUGCAAGCGUUACUCGGAAUUACUGGGCGUAAAGCGUGCGUAGGUGGUCGUUUAAGUCCGUUGUGAAAGCCCUGGGCUCAACCUGGGAACUGCAGUGGAUACUGGGCGACUAGAGUGUGGUAGAGGGUAGCGGAAUUCCUGGUGUAGCAGUGAAAUGCGUAGAGAUCAGGAGGAACAUCCAUGGCGAAGGCAGCUACCUGGACCAACACUGACAC